AAAGUGAUUUUACAAAAAUGACACAAUAUGCAACUGAGCUACAAAUGUAUGUUGGUCUGAGAGAAAUUGAGAAAACUACAUCACUGAAGCAGCAAAAUACAUAGAUGAAUUAAAAAGUGGAGACAAUUUGGAGGAAAAGAACUUAGAGGUAACCAUUUCAUCUGCCCUGCAAUCAAUUUUACAAGAGGUCAAAUCGUUUGGCGAUAUUAAUAUCAAUACCACACAAUCUACUCUUCAAAUUAAGGCGGGAAGAAAAGAUCAAGCACAGAACUUAGUACCAACUGUUCCUAGAAUUGAAGAAAUUAAACCAACAAAAUUGAGAACUCUGACAAUUCCAGAAGAUAUGAAGUCUACAAGUUUACCUGUCUGUAGGAUAUUACCUGAUGGUAAAUGUCUUAUUCUUAAU
rnacentral:lncRNA from 1 species